AAGAAAGGAGCAGUGUGGGCAAUGCAAUGAAGGUGAUUAAAACAGAUAAGGCUUUAAAGAGACCCUGUCUUUUUGAUCUGAAUGGGUUUCUUUAAUGAGAUCUCUGUAUUUGUACUGGAUUUGCUGUGUUUUGGUGCUGGUACAGGAAAUGUUGACUUUAUUCCUACAAAACACAAUCACGCGGACCUGGGCUCCGAAUCAAAAAACUAAAUAUAACCGCUUAGUGUGAUACGGCAAAGCUGUUUACCGGUGCCUGGUCUACUAAGGACCUGUGCAGGGUCUACAAGCUUUGCCACUUGUAUACAGUCAUAUGGGCAGCUCUGCUAUGCCUAAGCUGGAGACAGCAGUGGAGGGCUCAGUGCCAUUAUAUCCCAUGGGCAAGUCCACUGAAGGCCACACCUAUCCUGUCUCCAACUUGGUUAUUGUACCCGACUUGUAUGGUUGCAUAAAAAUGCCAAAGCUGAUAAACCCUGCACCAACCUGGGAACCUUUGUAAAUCAGUGGGCCUGAGAAAGGGUGUGGGACAGGGAAUGAAGUCAGGAGAUGCUUUAAAACGUGGAGGGUUUAAUAGCAAUGCACAUAUUGUCCCACGCUAAAUAAAAUAUGGGGCCAACAGUGGCAAAGGAAAAAAAUGUUCCAGGAAGGAGGAAAGAAAUGCCCCUGUUUCAGUGGUGUUAUCACUGUCCCUGCAUAAAUGGUAUUACUGAAAAGAAAAAUGCCUCUGCAUCCAUGGUGUCACUGGAAGAAAUAAAUGCCCCUGUGUUGGUGGUGUCACUGGAGGGAAAAAAUGCUGCUGCAUCCGUGGUAUCACUGGAAGGUAAACAUGCCCCUGUGUUGGUAUCACUGGAAGGUAAACAUGCCCCUGUGUUGGUAUCACUGGAAGGUAAACAUGCCCCUGUGUUGGUAUCACUGGAAGGUAAACAUGCCCCUGUGUUGGUGGUGUCACUGGAAGGUAAACGUGCCCCUGUGUUUUUGGUGUCACUGGAAGGUAAACAUGUCCCUGUGUUGGUAUCACUGGAGGGUAAACAUGCCCCUGUGUUGGUGGUGUCACUGGAAGGUAAACAUGCCCCUGUGUUGGUGGUAUCACUGGAAGGUAAACAUGCCCCUGUGUUGGUGGUGUCACUGGAAGGUAAACAUGCCCCUGUGUUGGUGGUGUCACUGGAAGGUAAACAUGCCCCUGUAUUGGUAUCACUGGAAGGUAAACAUGCCCCUGUGUUGGUGGUGUCACUGGAAGGUAAACGUGCCCCUGUGUUUUUGGUGUCACUGGAAGGUAAACAUGUCCCUGUGUUGGUAUCACUGGAAGGUAAACAUGUCCCUGCGUUUUUGGUGUCACUGGAAGGUAAACAUGUCCCUGUGUUGGUAGGUAUCACUGGAAGGUAAACAUGCCCCUGUGUUGGUGGUAUCACUGGAGGGUAAACAUGCCCCUGUGUUGGUGGUAUCACUGGAAGGUAAACAUGCCCCUGUGUUGGUGGUAUCACUGGAAGGUAAACAUGCCCCUGUGUUGGUGGUAUCACUGGAGGGUAAACAUACCCCUGUGUUGGUGAUAUCACUGGAAGGUAAACGUGUCCCUGUGUUGGUGUCACUAGAAGGUAAACAUGCCCCUGUGUUGGUGUCACUGGAAGGUAAACAUGCCCCUGUGUUGGUGAUAUCACUGGAAGGUAAACGUGCCCCUGUGUUGGUGGUAUCACUGGAAGGUAAACGUGCCCCUGUGUUGGUGGUAUCACUGGAAGGUAAACAUACCCCUGUGUUGGUGAUAUCACUGGAAGGUAAACGUGCCCCUGUGUUGGUGGUAUCACUGGAAGGUAAACAUGCCCCUGUGUUGGUGGUAUCACUGGAAGGUAAACAUGCCCCUGUGUUGGUGGUAUCACUGGAAGGUAAAAAUGCCCGUCAAAUGCCACUGUGUUGGUGGUGUCAGUCUCCGGACUGCUUUGACAUCUGUGCCACUGAAAUGAAACAAGAACUGGGAGGCUGGAGAAGUAGGGGAAGCUCUUUGAGGUGCAUUGAACCAAGGGACACCUAGG